rnacentral:rRNA from 1 species
UACGAAGGGUGCAAGCGUUAAUCGGAAUUACUGGGCGUAAAGCGCACGCAGGCGGUCUUUUAAGUUUGACGUGAAAGCUCCCGGCUUAACUGGGAGAGGUCGUUGAAUACUGGAAGACUUGAGGCAAUGAGAGGGGUGUAGAAUUCCCGGUGUAGUGGUGGAAUGCGUAGAUAUCGGGGGGAAUACCAGUGGCGAAAGCGGCACCCUAGCGUUAGCCUGACGCUCAUGUGCGAAAGCGUGGGUAGCAAACAGG